UACCUGCAGUCGAGCGGAGUGAUGGUGCUUGCACUNUCACUUAGCGGCGGACGGGUGAGUAAUGCUUAGGAAUCUGCCUNUUAGUGGGGGACAACNUUUCGAAAGGAAUGCUAAUACCGCAUACGUCCUACGGGAGAAAGCNGGGGAUCUUCGGACCUUGCGCUANUAGAUGAGCCUAAGUCGGAUUAGCUAGUUGGUGGGGUAAAGGCCUACCAAGGCGACGAUCUGUANCNGGUCUGAGAGGAUGAUCCGCCACACUGGNACUGAGACACGGCCCAGACUCCUACGGGAGGCAGCAGUGGGGAAUAUUGGACAAUGGGCGCAAGCCUGAUCCAGCCAUGCCGCGUGUGUGAAGAAGGCCUUNUGNUUGUAAAGCACUUUAAGCNAGGAGGANGCUACUGAAGUUAAUACCUUCAUAUAGUGNACGUUACUCNCAAAAUAAGCACCGGCUAACUCUGUGCCANCANCCGCGGUAAUACAGAGGGUGCAAGCGUUAAUCGGAUUUACUGGGCGUAAAGCGCGCGUAGGCGGCUAAUUAAGUCAAAUGUGAAAUCCCCGAGCUUAACUUGGGAAUUGCAUUCGAUACUGGUUAGCUAGAGUGUGGGAGAGGAUGGUAGAAUUCCUGGUGUAGCGGUGAAAUGCGUAGAGAUCUGGAGGANUACCGAUGGCGAAGGCAGCCNUCUGGCCUANCACUGACNCUGAGGUGCGAAAGCAUGGGGAGCAAACAGGAUUAGAUACCCUGGUAGUCCAUGCCGUAAACGAUGUCUACUANCCGUUGGGANCCUUUGAAAGCUUUAGUGGCGCANCUAACGCGAUAAGUANACCGCCUGGGGAGUACGGCCNCCANGACUAAAACUCAAAUGANUUGACGGGGNCCCNCNCAACCGGUGNANCAUGUGNUUUANUNCNAUGCANCCCGAAAAACCUUACCUGGCCUNGACNUAUUAAAANCUUUCCAAAAAUGGAUUGGGUGCCCUNCGGNAACUUAAAUACAGGUGCUGCAUGGCUNUCCNCCACCUCCUGUCCNGAAAUUUUGGNUUAANUCCCNNACNANCCCAACCCUUUUNCNUUUUUUCC
rnacentral:rRNA from 1 species